AAGAAACCAACUGGGAUUGCCUUAGUAACGGCGAGUGAAGCGGCAAAAGCUCAAAUUUGAAAUCUGGUACCUUUGGUGCCCGAGUUGUAAUUUGGAGAGUACCACUUUGGGACUGUACUUUGCCUAUGUUCCUUGGAACAGGACGUCAUGGAGGGUGAGAAUCCCGUGUGGCGAGGGUGUCAGUUCUUUGUAAAGGGUGCUCGAAGAGUCGAGUUGUUUGGGAAUGCAGCUCUAAGUGGGUGGUAAAUUCCAUCUAAAGCUAAAUACAGGCGAGAGACCGAUAGCGAACAAGUACAGUGAUGGAAAGAUGAAAAGAACUUUGAAAAGAGAGUGAAAAAGUACGUGAAAUUGUUGAAAGGGAAGGGCAUUUGAUCAGACAUGGUGUUUUGCGCCCCUUGCCUCUCGUGGGCUUGGGACUCUCGCAGCUCACUGGGCCAGCAUCGGUUUUGGCGGCCGGAAAAAACCUAGGGAAUGUGGCUCUGCGCCUCGGUGUAGAGUGUUAUAGCCCUGGGGAAUACGGCCAGCC
rnacentral:rRNA from 1 species